rnacentral:ncRNA from 1 species
AUCCGACUGUCCAGUUAAAACAUUGCAUUGCGAUGGCCACAAAGUGGCGUUGACGCAAUGUGAUUUCUGCCCAGUGCUCUGAAUACAAAUCAGAGUGAAGGAAGUCAACCAAGCGCGGGUAAAAGGCGGGAGUCUCGAGCCGAUGAUUGUCAUUCGGUUUUUGUGCUUUGAGUAUACUGGCAGCUGGUGGAAGAAUGCUGAGGCGUCUAAUACUUUAAUGUAUUUCUUUCCACGGAGAGAUGAGAUAAUGUCCUCCUGGGAUGGAAUGGGGUAGACGUCUGGGACCGUGAAUUCGUUUAGAGCUCGUAGGUUAAUGACCAUACGGCUUUUUCUCUCCAACAAGUUUUCAAUUUCUUUAAAUUUGGCCUUGAUAUCUUUUGAGCCUCCCCAGUGCGACCCGUUUUGGGCGACCAGAACUCGCGUGUCUGUACACUUUGCCGGGGGCUUCAAAGCAUUUCGGGUGUUCCUGCCAUUGUCUUCCGGCCAUGUCAAACCCUGCCUUCAGGAACAGGUCGAUCCAUUCAUCGCGUUGCUCCGCAGUGAAGCCCAGCACCCUGGUUCUGACAUACGGACUCCUUCGUGAUGACUUGGUAUUGGUUGGUGAAUUCACUAGCAGGUGGACACCACUCGGGUGGCCUCAUUGGUAUUGCCAUUGUAAUAGUCCCAGUCAACCUGCUUUUGUUUGUCCUUUUCAAGGGGUCUUUCCAAGCAAUAUCUGUGUUUCAGCAACGUUGCCCUUCCAUCUCAUGCCAUCACAUCCAUAACGCAGUAUCCGUAGCGAAAGGCAUUUUGCGUGCUCGUGGUGCCAGCAUCGCCGUGUCUUCAUUCCUUCUUGCGAUCCAGGUGUCUCUGUGUCCACGAAUUUCACCCCUUUCAGUAUUCCUGCAGGGCCAGAACCCUCGUUGUUCUCGACUUGUGUGGGUUGUUCCAUCGGUCGACAUCGUUUCAGACCAACCGUCUCAUUUUCCAAUGACCGCAAUUCAUCGUUCAUUGAGGUGGUCAGUUAUCUGUUAGAUUCUGCGAGGUCUUACACCCCAAGCUGCAACGGAGCGAGCACUCGUUCGGUGUUGCCUCUGGCGUGUGCGUCUUGAUGAAAGAUGCGACAAUUAAUUGUUGUUGCGACCUCGGAUGUGGUUUUUGCCACGGCUUCAGGCUCCUCAGAUUUAUUCUAUGAAUCUCAUGGUAGCCAAAUGCCUCGCCGUCUAAUUAAUGACGCGCAUAAUUGGAUCAACGAGAU